rnacentral:misc_RNA from 1 species
UUUCCGUAGGUGAACCUGCGGAAGGAUCAUUAGUGAAUAUUAGGGCGUCUACUUCGGUAGGGCCUGACCUCCACUUUCUAACUCUGUGCACUUAUUUGGCGGAAAAGGGAAUUAGUAAUCUGUCUAAUGACGAUUGCGACUUCUUACUUUCUGCGGCUUACUUUAAACACUAGUCAAAGUAUGUAACGAAAUAUCGAAACAAAUAAGAACUUUCAACAACGGAUCUCUUGGCUCUC